GGGGGCAAGAUGAGUGGUAAGGGUGUUCGACUCCCAGCCCAAUGGUUCUGGGUUCGAUCCCCAGUGUCCACA